rnacentral:rRNA from 1 species
GCAGUCGUACGCUUCUUUUUCCCCGGAGCUUGCUCCACCGGAAAAAGAAGAGUGGCGAACGGGUGAGUAACACGUGGGUAACCUGCCCAUCAGAAGGGGAUAACACUUGGAAACAGGUGCUAAUACCGUAUAACAAUCGAAACCGCAUGGUUUUGAUUUGAAAGGCGCUUUCGGGUGUCGCUGAUGGAUGGACCCGCGGUGCAUUAGCUAGUUGGUGAGGUAACGGCUCACCAAGGCCACGAUGCAUAGCCGACCUGAGAGGGUGAUCGGCCACAUUGGGACUGAGACACGGCCCAAACUCCUACGGGAGGCAGCAGUAGGGAAUCUUCGGCAAUGGACGAAAGUCUGACCGAGCAACGCCGCGUGAGUGAAGAAGGUUUUCGGAUUGUAAAACUCUGUUGUUAGAGAAGAACAAGGAUGAGAGUAACUGUUCAUCCCUUGACGGUAUCUAACCAGAAAGCCACGGCUAACUACGUGCCAGCAGCCGCGGUAAUACGUAGGUGGCAAGCGUUGUCCGGAUUUAUUGGGCGUAAAGCGAGCGCAGGCGGUUUCUUAAGUCUGAUGUGAAAGCCCCCGGCUCAACCGGGGAGGGUCAUUGGAAACUGGGAGACUUGAGUGCAGAAGAGGAGAGUGGAAGUCCAUGUGUAGCGGUGAAAUGCGUAGAUAUAUGGAGGAACACCAGUGGCGAAGGCGGCUCUCUGGUCUGUAACUGACGCUGAGGCUCGAAAGCGU